UACGUAGGGUGCGAGCGUUUGUCCGGAAUUAUUGGGCGUAAAGAGCUUGUAGGCGGUUUGUCGCGUCUGCUGUGAAAAUCCGGGGCUCAACCCCGGACUUGCAGUGGGUACGGGCAGACUAGAGUGUGGUAGGGGAGACUGGAAUUCCUGGUGUAGCGGUGGAAUGCGCAGAUAUCAGGAGGAACACCGAUGGCGAAGGCAGGUCUCUGGGCCACUACUGACGUGAGAAGCGAAAGCAUGGGGAGCGAACAGG
rnacentral:rRNA from 1 species